AGCAGCCGCGGUAAUUCCAGCUCCAAUAGCGUAUAUUAAAGUUGUUGCAGUUAAAAAGCUUGUAGUUGAAUUUCGGGAUUUGUCAGUUGGUCGGGCUUCACUGUCCGUACUGACUUGAUGGAUUCUUACCUUCUGAAUAACCAGCAUGCUAUUUAGUUAGUGCGUUGGGGAAGCAGAUCUAUUACCUUGAAAAAAUUAGAGUGCUUAAAGCAGGCUAGUGCUUGAAUAGAUUAGCAUGGAAUAAUAAAAUAGGACGGCAUGGUUCUAUUUUGUUGGUUUCUAGGAUCACCGUAAUGAUUAAUAGGGAUAGUUGGGGGCAUUAGUAUUCAAUUGUCAGAGGUGAAAUUCUUGGAUUUAUUGAAGACUAACUUCUGCGGAAGCAUUUGCCAAGGAUGUUUUCAUUAAUCAAGAACGAAAGUUAGGGGAUCGAAGACGAUCAGAUACCGUCGUAGUCUUAACCAUAAACUAUGCCGACUAGGAAUCGGACGAAGUUAAUUUUAUAAUGACUCG
rnacentral:rRNA from 1 species